CGGCCAAAGCACAAAUCCAGUCCUCCAAUAAAGCAAAUCUGAUAAUCAACUAUGACCAGUUUUUCAUGAUGGGACCAAAGGUAAACCCCACUAGAAAAGUGGUCAGGAUAACGCAAAACCCUCACAUUCUCAUGAAUGCUAAGAAGCUUUCUCUUGCUAUACACACUGUUGAUUUUCAGAGCAAGAGCCACCUCUUUAUAUAGAAGAAUGUAUAUCUGAA
rnacentral:misc_RNA from 1 species